CAAAGAGUCUCUUUCUUGUAGGGCAUGAGCACUCGGCUGAUGGCGGCAACAAAGAGAGGCGGCGGCAUGCUGCGUGACCUGCAGGUGGCGUUGCAGCGGAAGAUUGAGGAGCUGACGGAGCGAGACGCGCUGAUUGAGGAGCUGGAGUCAGAACUGGAUGCCAAAGAUCUCCUGAUUGGCCAUUUGCGGGCCGAGCUGGACCGUCAUCGUAGUUUGAUGCCGGGCACCGACGAUACUGCCGCUGCACAGACACCCGACGCAGCAGGUGGCGCUCCAGCAAUGCCAGCACCGUCACUCGAUGAGCCUCAGCGCACCAAGAGACAGGCCAUAUCGGCAGAACCCAGCGCUCUGGAUCCUGCCCGACUCACCGACGUCACGCUCACCAGCUACUGCAAGAGCAAAGAGUCCAGCGAGCUGAUCCAGAGAGCGCUGAUGGACAAUGACUUCAUGAAGCAUCUGGAACAUGGACAGAUCCUCACCAUCUUGGACUGCAUGCGGCCCACCAGCCUGGACAAAGGCUGCUGCGUCAUCCAGGAGGGCGACGACGGAUCUAGCGUCUUUGUUCUGGAGGAGGGCAUGGUGGAGGUGAGCAAAGAAGGCAAAAAGCUGUGCACCAUCGGCCCCGGCAAAGUCUUUGGCGAGCUCGCCAUCUUGUACAACUGCACGCGCACGGCUACAGUGACGGCUCUGACCGACAUCAAGUUGUGGGCCAUUGAUCGCCAGGGCUUUCAGACCAUUAUGAUGAGGACCGGCCUCAUCAAGCAUUCCCAGUACACGGACUUCCUGCGCAGCGUUCCGUCCUUCCAGGCCCUUCCAGAGGACGUUCUCAGCAAGCUGGCUGAUGUUCUGGAGGAGACUCACUAUAGCAAUGGCGACUACAUCAUCCGGCAGGGCGCCACGGGAGACACCUUCUUCAUUAUCAGUGAAGGGCAGGUGACGGUGUGGCAGCAGACCGCCCCCAGUGGUCAGCAGGUGCCGGUGAAGACGCUGUCCAAAGGCGACUGGUUUGGCGAGCAAGCGCUGAAAGGGGAAGAUGUGCGUACGGCCUCCUCCCACGUUCCAUCCUUUCACAUCAGACAAGGCAAACAUCGUGCAUGGUCCUUCAAGCAGCUGAUCGGCGGCUUAGAGGAAGUGGACCGCCAGCAGGGAGACGACGAGCACGUCAAAGCCAAGUGCCCGGCUGAGGACGACUUCUUCUCCGGCGUGACGCUCGACGACCUUGCCGUGGUCUGCACCUUGGGCAUGGGUGGCUUCAGCCGCGUGGAGCUGGUGCAGCUCAAGAGAGACGCUGGGCGCUCCUUCGCCCUCAAAGUGUUGAAGAAGCGCCACAUUCUGGACACCAGGCAGCAGGAGCACAUCCUGUCGGAACGCCGCAUCAUGAUGGAAGUCAACAGCCCCUUCAUCAUCAGGUUGUACCGCACCUUCCGGGACCCCAAAUACUUGUAUAUGCUGCUAGAGGUUUGUCUUGGCGGAGAGCUGUGGACGCUCUUAAGAGACAGGGGCUCCUUUGACGACGGGACCACAAGAUUCUACACGACGUGCGUUAUCGAGGCUCUGGCGGAGCUCCACUGUAAAGGGAUCAUCUACCGAGACCUCAAGCCGGAGAAUAUCAUCCUUGACCACAGAGGCUACGCCAAGUUGGUGGAUUUUGGCUUCGCUAAGAAGGUGGGCUUGGGGAAGAAGACCUGGACCUUCUGCGGGACCCCCGAGUACGUGGCCCCCGAGAUCAUCCUCAACAAAGGUCACGACAGCUCGGCCGACUGCUGGUCCCUGGGGAUCCUGGUCUUUGAGCUUCUCAGCGGAAGUCCGCCGUUUUCCGGCUCGGACCCCAUGAAGACGUACAACAUCAUCUUGAGGGGGAUCGACAUGGUGGAAUUCCCCAAAAAGAUCACCAAGAGUGCCGCAAACCUCAUCAAGAGACUCUGCAGGUUGUGGCCCAGCAAAGGCUACCAAGGACAACCCCUCGGAACGUCUCGGGAACCAGAAGAACGGCGUAAAGGACAUUCAGAAGCACAAGUGGUUCGAGGGCUUCAACUGGGAUGGCCUCCGCCAGGGAACCUUGGACUGUCCCUUUAUGCCAAGGGUGGACGGCCCGUUGGACAACAGCAACUUUGAUGACUUCCCCCUGGACACCGAGGGCCCUCCCCCUGAUGACGAGUCAGGCUGGGACCUGGAGUUCUGAAACAGCUUGGCCAGGUCAGAGGCUCAAUGGAGAACGCACAAGUCUGGACCGUGUGGAGGUGGUAGGGGAGAGGAGGAGGGUGGCUAAGCUGUCCUCCAUCAUGGACAACAUCUCCCACCCCCUUCAUGAGACUGUCAGAGCCCUGGAGAGCUCCAUCAGUGACCGGCUUCGUCACCCACGAUGACCCACCGAGAGGCAUCGCACGCAGGUCCUUCCUCCCUGCUGCCAUCAGACUGGACAACCAGGCUUAUCACUGUAGCUAACGGACAAUAAUUACGUGCAAUAAUCAAAAAGUCAAAAAAGUCAAAAGUCAGCUUUAUUGUCAAUCUCUUCACAUGUCACACAAAGAAUAUUAACGUGCAAUAUCUGUCUACCUCAUACUCUUUUUACCUGCUUUAUUUUUUGCACAGUUUUUUUUCUUCCUUUGCACUAUUUUUCUAUCUAAUAUUUAUUUAUAUUGUGUAUAUACUGUCCAUAUUUUUUUAAUUAUAUAUAUCUUUUACUUUUUAAAAUCUUUUACCCCCUUCUCCACAUGCGUGUGUGUGUGUAUAUGUUAAGUGUACUGCUGCUUACACAGGAGUUUCCCCAUUGAGGGAAUAAUAAAGGAUCAUCUUAUUUGA